UACGUAGGGGGCAAGCGUUGUCCGGAUUUAUUGGGCGUAAAGAGCGUGUAGGCGGCCAUGUAGGUCCGUUGUGAAAACUCGAGGCUCAACCUCGAGACGCCGAUGGAAACCAUGUGGCUAGAGUCCGGAAGAGGAGAGUGGAAUUCCUGGUGUAGCGGUGAAAUGCGCAGAUAUCAGGAAGAACACCCGUGGCUAAGGCGGCUCUCUGGGCAUUACCUGACGCUGAGGAGCGAAAGUGUGGGGAGCGAACAGG
rnacentral:rRNA from 1 species